rnacentral:rRNA from 1 species
GAUGAACGCUAGCUACAGGCUUAACACAUGCAAGUCGAGGGGCAUCAGGAAGAAAGCUUGCUUUCUUUGCUGGCGACCGGCGCACGGGUGAGUAACACGUAUCCAACCUGCCCUUUACUCGGGGAUAGCCUUUCGAAAGAAAGAUUAAUACCCGAUGGCAUAAUGAUUCCGCAUGGUUUCAUUAUUAAAGGAUUCCGGUAAAGGAUGGGGAUGCGUUCCAUUAGGUUGUUGGUGAGGUAACGGCUCACCAAGCCUUCGAUGGAUAGGGGUUCUGAGAGGAAGGUCCCCCACAUUGGAACUGAGACACGGUCCAAACUCCUACGGGAGGCAGCAGUGAGGAAUAUUGGUCAAUGGGCGCUAGCCUGAACCAGCCAAGUAGCGUGAAGGAUGAAGGCUCUAUGGGUCGUAAACUUCUUUUAUAUAAGAAUAAAGUGCAGUAUGUAUACUGUUUUGUAUGUAUUAUAUGAAUAAGGAUCGGCUAACUCCGUGCCAGCAGCCGCGGUAAUACGGAGGAUCCGAGCGUUAUCCGGAUUUAUUGGGUUUAAAGGGAGCGUAGGUGGACUGGUAAGUCAGUUGUGAAAGUUUGCGGCUCAACCGUAAAAUUGCAGUUGAUACUGUCAGUCUUGAGUACAGUAGAGGUGGGCGGAAUUCGUGGUGUAGCGGUGAAAUGCUUAGAUAUCACGAAGAACUCCGAUUGCGAAGGCAGCUCACUGGACUGCAACUGACACUGAUGCUCGAAAGUGUGGGUAUCAAACAGGAUUAGAUACCCUGGUAGUCCACACAGUAAACGAUGAAUACUCGCUGUUUGCGAUAUACAGUAAGCGGCCAAGCGAAAGCAUUAAGUAUUCCACCUGGGGAGUACGCCGGCAACGGUGAAACUCAAAGGAAUUGACGGGGGCCCGCACAAGCGGAGGAACAUGUGGUUUAAUUCGAUGAUACGCGAGGAACCUUACCCGGGCUUAAAUUGCAGUGGAAUGAUGUGGAAACAUGUCAGUGAGCAAUCACCGCUGUGAAGGUGCUGCAUGGUUGUCGUCAGCUCGUGCCGUGAGGUGUCGGCUUAAGUGCCAUAACGAGCGCAACCCUUAUCUUCAGUUACUAACAGGUCAUGCUGAGGACUCUGGAGAGACUGCCGUCGUAAGAUGUGAGGAAGGUGGGGAUGACGUCAAAUCAGCACGGCCCUUACGUCCGGGGCUACACACGUGUUACAAUGGGGGGUACAGAAGGCAGCUAGCGGGUGAUCGUAUGCUAAUCCCAAAAUCCUCUCUCAGUUCGGAUCGAAGUCUGCGACCCGACUUCGUGAAGCUGGAUUCGCUAGUAAUCGCGCAUCAGCCACGGCGCGGUGAAUACGUUCCCGGGCCU